rnacentral:rRNA from 1 species
UACGAAGGGGGCUAGCGUUGUUCGGAAUUACUGGGCGUAAAGCGUAUGCAGGCGGAUCGUUAAGUCGGGGGUGAAAUCCCGAGGCUCAACCUCGGAACUGCCUUCGAUACUGGCGAUCUUGAGUCCGGGAGAGGUGAGUGGAACUCCGAGUGUAGAGGUGAAAUUCGUAGAUAUUCGGAAGAACACCAGUGGCGAAGGCGGCUCACUGGACUGGUAUUGACGCUGAGGUGCGAAAGCGUGGGGAGCAAACAGG